rnacentral:rRNA from 1 species
GACAGAGGUGCCAAGCGUUAGGCGGAAUCACUGGGCUUAAAGCGUGUGUAGGCGGGCGGGCAAGUACCUUGUGAAAUCCCACGGCUCAACCGUGGAACGGCUGGGUAUACUGCCUGUCUUGAGCCAGCUAGGGGCGACCGGAACAGACGGUGGAGCGGUGAAAUGCGUAGAUAUCGUUUGGAACGCCAAAGGUGAAAACAGGUUGCUGGGGAUGUGCUGACGCUGAGACACGAAAGCCAGGGGAGCAAACGGG